UUGGAGGGCAAGUCUGGUGCCAGCAGCCGCGGUAAUUCCAGCUCCAAUAGCGUAUAUUAAAGUUGUUGCAGUUAAAAAGCUCGUAGUUGAAUUUCGGGGUUAGUAGGUUGAUCAUGCCUCUGGUAUGUACUGGUCUCACUGAUUCCUCCUUCCUGAUGAGCCGUAAUGCCAUUAAUUUGGUGUUGCGGGGAAUUUGGACUGUUACUUUGAAAAAAUUAGAGUGUUUAAAGCAAGCUAACGCUUGAAUACAUCAGCAUGGAAUAAUGAAAUAGGACGUUCGAUCCUAUUUUGUUGGUUUCUAGGAUUGACGUAAUGAUUAAUAGGGAUAGUUGGGGGCAUUAGUAUUCAAUUGUCAGAGGUGAAAUUCUUGGAUUUAUUGAAGACUAACUACUGCGAAAGCAUUUGCCAAGGAUGUUUUCAUUAAUCAAGAACGAAAGUUAGGGGAUCGAAGACGAUCAGAUACCGUCGUAGUCUUAACCAUAAACUAUGCCGACUAGGGAUCGGAUGAUGUUAAUUUUUUAAUGACUCAUUCGGCGCCUUACGGGAAAC
rnacentral:rRNA from 1 species